ACAUUCUCAGUCGUUAUUUUCCUGAGAGCGACGAAGAGAAUCGCUAGUCCGUGCUUGUAUUCCAAAGAACGAUCCUUCUUCUAGACACAUUUUCGAUAUCCAGGAUGGCUUCCAACACACCCUCCACAAGCAAAAAACAUGAAAGUUUCACCACCCGUUCAUUGCGUGGCAGACCCGUUGCGGAAGUCCCUGGCAUUGGGGGUCCACUCGGCGGCUAACUCACCGCGCAGGGCUUCGCCACGGCCGAAACGGUAUACGGGCAGUUUCUGGUUCUCGGGCAGGACGAAGUGAAAUUUCGCGCCUGGUUGAAUGACAAGUGUAAUGCAAAUAAAAAGUAGGCCGGGGACUGUUUCAACGCUCUUAAAGGGGAAGUUAAGGCAAAAAUUAAAAUUUCACCAGUUGUAGUCUUCGGGGUGCUGAG